GGUCCCACUGUGUCAUCGUUCCUGCCUGGGAUGAAAAUGGAAGCUUGUACCCAGGAGUGACAAAGGAGUUGUGCCAGAAGUCAGGGCUGGGACUCAAGCCUUCUGGCUUGCAACCAGCAUCAUCCUCAUGGUCAAGAUCAAGUCUUCAGCUGUCCACCUGCAGACCCACCCAACCCACACCUGGGUUUGAAGCAAGGGAACAGGUACCUGCUGGCUGUCACCUGCCACUCACUGCUGGCUCUGGAAUUUUGUUAGUUGGUGCUAUGAUUCUAGGCAAAUCUCCCAGAUCAGUACCUGGAGGACAGCAAUGAGUUUUAGAUCACUGGCACUACAAAGAUGAAGGUCAGAGUCAAAGUCAAGAUUGGUCAUGAAGAUGAAGGUCAAGAAAGGAAGCAGCCCCGCCUCUACAGAGGCAAGGACUAGUAGGCCCCACUUAACCUGGAGUCACAGACUGAAGCCCUGCCUCACACUGAGACCUCUCCACACCCUCCCCAGCUCCAGCUGGAGGCAGUUUGGACCCAAAGCCAAGGAAGAGGUGAAGAUCAUGGAGCACCAAACACAGACGCUGCAGCUGAUGCCUCACCUGGCUACAACAUUGCCAUGGCUUCACGGGCAGGGUUACAUGAUGGAUAAAAGAAUCUCGGCUCAAUGUGUGACCCAGAUGCAUUUGCAACUUUUGAAGGUGACAAUGUUGUUUUGGAUCAGUUUCCUGGCAUUGAACAUGGAUACAGUCAGUAAACUCACCUUUCUGUUGAAGGCAGUGAAUUUUCAUGGAAAGGAUUCUUCAGUGGUGCUUAGUGGCCAGAAUUCAUCAUAAGGUUCUUGUGUUGGCUGAACUAUAUCCCCGGCCCAUUGCUGGUUCCUCAGUCGGGCAAAAGGCUCUUUGAAGAAAUUAAGGGUGUGGAUUACAGACCCUCUCAAUCAAGCUAUAGAGUGUCUAUGAAGAUAGGGGACUUUGUGGAUGAUAAGGUGCAAGAUUUUGAGCCAAUGCUGUCCAAUGGGAUAAAACCUUUAUGGGAAAGAAUGAGUGUGUUGAAAAUACCAUUGGUAAACGUCAUAGACCUAGAGAAAAUAUUCCUAAAAUUCAUCUGGAACCAGAAGAGAACCAGAAUAGCAAAAGCAAUCCUGGGAAACAAAGGCAAGGCAGGAGGUAUCACAAUCCCCCAUUUGAAAUUAUACUAUAAAGCUACUGUGAUAAAAUCAGCAUGGUAUUGGCAAAAAACAAAACAAAACAAAACAAAAAAAAACCAGACCUGAAGAUCAGUGGAUCAGAUUAGAAGAUGCAGACACAACCACAAAGACACUCAGCCACCUUAUCUUUGACAAAGGGGCCAAACAUGUUCACUGGAAAAAAGAUAGCCUCUUUAAUAAAUGGUGCUGGAAAAACUGUCUUUCCACAUGCCAAAGACUAAAACUAGACCCAAGCCUGUCACCAUGCAUCAAAAUAAAGUCAAAAUGGCUUAAACAUCUAAAUAUUAAAACAGAAAUGCUAUAUGUAUUGGAAGAGAUAGUAGGUGGAAGUCUUGAAGACAUAGGGGCAGGCAGAGAGUUCAUGAAAAAAAAUAAACUGCAUGGGAAAUACUUCAAAGAAUCAACAGCUUGGAUCUGAUCUUAUUGAAAAGUUUUUGCACAUCAAAAGAAAUCACCAACAGGGUGAAUAGAAAACCCAUGAGGGAAAGAAAUUUUAGCCAGCUGUCCCUCAGACAAAGGACUCCUGUCUAGAACAUACAAAGAAUUUUAAAAAAUCAGGUCCCCAAAAUUCAAACACUCAGUACAAAAAUGGGCAUCUGAGAUGAAUACACUUCUCACAUGAAGAAAUACAAAUGGCAAAUAAAUACAUGAAAAAAUGUUCAACAUCAUUAAUCAUUGAAGAAAUGCAAGUUAAAACAGCAGUGAGAUUCCAUCUUACCCCAGAAAGAAUGGCUAUCAUCAAGAAAUCAACCCAUAACAAAUGCUGGAAGGGCUGUGGGGAAAAAGGAACUCUUCUCCACUGUUGGUGGGAGUGUAAAUUGAUGCAACUACUGUGGAAAUCAGUAUGGAGAUUCCUCUGUAAACUAGGAUUAGAGGUCCCAUUCAACCCAGCUAUUCCCCUUCUGGGUAUUUUUGCAGAAGAACUGAAAACAUCUUACCACAGCGAUAUAUGUGCACCCAUGUUUGUAGCAGCACAAUUUGUCAUAGCUAAACCUUGGAAACAACCCAAAUGCCCAUGAACAGAGGAACGGAUAAAAAAGAUGUGGUAUUUUUAUACAAUGGAGUAUUACUCAACUAUAAAGAAAGAUAAAUUAGAGGCUUUUAUAGGUAAAUGGAUCAACUAGAGACCAUACUCAUAAGUGAAAUAAAUCAGAUUCACACGUGUACACAUUUUAUUUCCUCCCUACUACAAGAAUCUGAAAGAGUACAUAAAAUCUGAAAGGUACAAUAGAUACUGUGAAAGGGGAAAGAAACUGCUCAAAUAGGAAGGAGCAACUGGAAUGAAGGAGGAGAGAGGAAAAAGAAAAAAGAGAAAAAUAAUAUGUAUAUGUAUACACAGGAUAGCUAGGAUAAUUGUACUACUAAUAUCUGUUGGUUUAUUGAAAGGAACUGUUAAUGUGUAAUUGUUUGAUCAAUCUUACAUUACUAUAUCUGGUUAUGUGUGCAACCAUUUUGAAGAUGAAAUUACAUAAUAUAAUUGUUAAUAUCCUAUCCCCUUUUUUGAAAUUCUGUAUCAUUUUUAUUGUUCUCUAUGCUGUUUUGUUUAGAUAUUUGUUUUUGUUAUCUUGGGGGUUUUUUCUUUUCUCUUUAGAAUGAAAAACAAAUUUAUAUGUGUAUACAAGAUUUCUGGGAUAGGUGUAUUGCUAGUGUCUGUGGUUUAUUGAAAGGAACAGUCAAUGCUUAAAACUUUCUUUUUUCUUGACCAAUUUUGCACACUUGAAUCUGGUAAUCAGAAAGACUGAUCUGGAAACAACAAUAUGCAGUAUAAGAACCAGUGUUGAACUCCUACCAUCUUGUAUGGUGAAGCUCUACAUCAUUUCCAAUGGUUUUUUUGUUGUUGUUAUUACUUGUUACUGUCUUUGAUUGUUUGAUCAAUCUUACAUUCUUACAUCUGGUGGACUGAGCAACUUAGUUGAAGAUAACAAUAUGUAAUGUAGAAACCAUUAUUAAUUCCUAUCAUUUUGAUUUGGGGUCAUGUAUCAUUUUUGUUGUUUUUGUGAUGUUUUGAUUUUGUCUUCAUUGUUGUUUUGUUAGUUUUUUAAUCUUUAAAAUAAUAAAAAUGUAUGAG
ensembl:lincRNA